UACAGAGGGUGCAAGCGUUAAUCGGAAUUACUGGGCGUAAAGCGCGCGUAGGUGGUUCGUUAAGUUGGAUGUGAAAUCCCCGGGCUCAACCUGGGAACUGCAUUCAAAACUGUCGAGCUAGAGUAUGGUAGAGGGUGGUGGAAUUUCCUGUGUAGCGGUGAAAUGCGUAGAUAUAGGAAGGAACACCAGUGGCGAAGGCGACCACCUGGACUGAUACUGACACUGAGGUGCGAAAGCGCGGGGAGCAAACAGG
rnacentral:rRNA from 1 species